rnacentral:rRNA from 1 species
ACCCAGCUUGCUGGCCGGAUUAUUGCCGAACGGGUGAGUAACACGUGAGUAACCUGCCCUUGACUCUGGGAUAAACCCGGGAAACUGGGUCUAAUACCGGAUAGGAGCGCCUGUCGCAUGACGGGUGCUGGAAAGAUCUUUCGGUCAUGGAUGGACUCGCGGCCUAUCAGCUUGUUGGUGAGGUAACGGCUCACCAAGGCUACGACGGGUAGCCGGCCUGAGAGGGUGACCGGCCACGCUGGGACUGAGACACGGCCCAAACUCCUACGGGAGGCAGCAGUGGGGAAUAUUGCACAAUGGGCGAAAGCCUGAUGCAGCGACACCGCGUGAGGGAUGACGGCCUUCGGGUUGUUACCUCUUUCAGCAUGGAAGAAGCGAAAGUGACGGUACCUGCAGAAGAAGCACCGGCUAACUACGUGCCAACACCCGCGGUAAUACGUAAGGUGCGAGCGUUAUCCGGAAUUAUUGGGCGUAGAGAGCUCGUAUGCGGUUUGUCACGUCUGUCGUGAAACUCCGGGGCUUACCCCCGGAUCUGCGGUGGGUACGGGCAUACUAGAGUGCAGUACGGGAGACUGGAAUUCCUGGUGUAGCGGUGGAAUGCACAGAUAUCACGAGGAACACCGAUGGCGAAGGCAAGUCUCUGGGCUGUAACUGACGCUGAGGAGCGAAAGCAUGGGGAGCGAACAGGAUUAGAUACCCUGGUAGUCCAUGCCGUAAACGUUGGGCACUAGGUGUGGGGACCAUUCCACGGUUUCCGCGCCGCAGCUAACGCAUUAAGUGCCCCGCCUGGGGAGUACGGCCGCAAGGCUAAAACUCAAAGGAAUUGACGGGGGCCCGCACAAGCGGCGGAGCAUGCGGAUUAAUUCGAUGCAACGCGAAGAACCUUACCAAGGCUUGACAUGUUUUCGACCGCCGUGGAGACACGGUUUCCCCUUUGGGGCGGAUUCACAGGUGGUGCAUGGUUGUCGUCAGCUCGUGUCGUGAGAUGUUGGGUUAAGUCCCGCAACGAGCGCAACCCUCGUUCCAUGUUGCCAGCACGUAGUGGUGGGGACUCAUGGGAGACUGCCGGGGUCAACUCGGAGGAAGGUGAGGACGACGUCAAAUCAUCCUGCCCCUUAUGUCCUGGGCUUCACGCAUGCUACAAUGGCCGGUACAAUGGGUUGCGAUACUGUGAGGUGGAGCUAAUCCCAAAAAGCCGGUUUCAGUUCGGAUUGGGGUCUGCAACUCGACCCCAUGAAGUCGGAGUCGCUAGUAAUCGCAGAUCAGCAACGCUGCGGUGAAUACGUUCCCGGGCCUUGUACACACCGCCCGUCACGUCACGAAGAGUCGGUAACACCCGAAGCCGGUGGCGC